GACGUAGGGCGCGAGCGUUGUCCGGAUUUAUUGGGCGUAAAGAGCUCGUAGGCGGCUUGUCGCGUCGUCCGUGAAAACUUGGGGCUCAACCCCAAGCUUGCGGUCGAUACGGGCAGGCUGGAGUUCGGUAGGGGAGACUGGAAUUCCUGGUGUAGCGGUGAAAUGCGUUGAUAUCAGGAGGAACACCGAUGGCGAAGGCAGCAAACUGGUCGUCAACUGACGCUGAGGCGCGAAAGCGUGGGUAGCAAACAGG
rnacentral:rRNA from 1 species